rnacentral:rRNA from 1 species
UACGAAGGGGGCUAGCGUUGUUCGGAAUUACUGGGCGUAAAGGGCGCGUAGGCGGUACUUCAAGUCAGGCGUGAAAGCCCCGGGCUCAACCUGGGAACCGCGCUUGAGACUGGAGAACUAGAGUUCGGGAGAGGAUGGUGGAAUUCCCAAUGUAGAGGUGAAAUUCGUAGAUAUUGGGAAGAACACCGAUGGCGAAGGCAGCCAUCUGGACCGACACUGACGCUGAGGCGCGAAAGCGUGGGGAGCAAACAGG